AUUGUCUUCGUUUUUCACAUGUGAUUUUUUAAAGAGCAGAGGAUGGCGCUGUGAUUGAUUAUGAGCUAAUUGACCAAGAUGCUCUGGAACUCUAUGAUGCAGGAGUGAAGAGGAAGGGAACUGAUGACCCUAAAUGGGUUAGUAUUAUGACUGAGAAGACUGUUUGCUACCUCUAGAAAGUAUUUGAACGGUACAAAAGCUACAGCCCUUAUGACAUGUUGGAGAGUAUCAAGAAGGCAAUCAAAGGAGACCUCGAAAAUGCCUUCCUCAACCUAGGUCAGCAAAUAUAUGUUACAUGGCUCCAUUUUACCUUUCCUGGAACAGUCCUAAAGUCUUAGUAUUUAAUCAGCCCGCCAAUUUAGAUGGAUAAUUGGAAGUUCUCAUUCUGAAUGUGAAU